rnacentral:ncRNA from 1 species
GGUUAGCGUUUGGGCGAUGGUCCUUCCACGUGGAAGGUGAAAAGGGAAGCCGGUGCGAAUUCGUUCAAUCCCGGUGCUGCCCCCGCAACUGUAAGCGACGAGCCCUCGCCGAGGCCACUGGGAUAUCCUGGGAAGGCGGCGAAUGGCGACGACUCGCGAGCCAGGAGACCUGCCAUCACGGAUUGUGCUUU